rnacentral:rRNA from 1 species
GGCGUAGGGCGCGAGCGUUGUCCGGAUUUAUUGGGCGUAAAGAGCUCGUAGGCGGCUUGUCGCGUCGACUGUGAAAACCCGCGGCUCAACCCCGGGCCUGCAGCCGAUACGGGCAGGCUAGAGUGUGGUAGGGGAGAUUGGAAUUCCUGGUGUAGCGGUGAAAUGCGCAGAUAUCAGGAGGAACACCGAUGGCGAAGGCAGAUCUCUGGGCCAUUACCGACGCUGAGGAGCGAAAGCGUGGGGAGCGAACAGG